UCCAAUGUGGUGUAGUGGCUAACAUUGCUGUCUUUCAUGUAAUUGUGUACACCCGCGUAAUUGCACAGCAGCCCGGGGUUCGAUUCCCCGCAUUGGAA
rnacentral:tRNA from 1 species